rnacentral:rRNA from 1 species
CCGGGCCUUGUACACACCGCCCGUCACACCAUGGGAGUUGGUUUUACCCGAAGACGGCGCGCUAACCGCAAGGAGGCAGCCGGCCACGGUAGGGUCAGCGACUGGGGUG